rnacentral:rRNA from 1 species
CAGAACUUAAAUGAAUUGACGGGGCCCGCACAAGCGGUGGAGUAUGUGGUUUAAUUCGAUGCAACGCGAAGAACCUUACCUGGUCUUGACAUCCCGGAGACCCUUAGGAAACUAGGGGGUGCUUCCAUCUGGAAGAAUCUGGAGACAGGUGCUGCAUGGCUGUCGUCAGCUCGUGUCGUGAGAUGUUGGGUUAAGUCCCGCAACGAGCGCAACCCUUGCCUUUAGUUGCCAGCAGUUCGGCUGGGCACUCUAAAGGGACUGCCGGUGUUAAACCGGAGGAAGGUGGGGAUGACGUCAAGUCCUCAUGGCCCUUACGGCCUGGGCUACACACGUGCUACAAUGGUCGGUACAAAGGGUUGCCAAGCCGCGAGGUGGAGCUAAUCCCAUAAAACCGAUCGUAGUCCGGAUCGCAGUCUGCAACUCGACUGCGUGAAGUCGGAAUCGCUAGUAAUCGUGAAUCAGAAUGUCACGGUGAAUACGUUCCCGGGCCUU